rnacentral:lncRNA from 1 species
CCUUUGCUAUUAUCGUCAAAAUUUAUCACUCAUUCUUCCUUUCUUCAAGGGUGACAAGUUAUGCUUUAUCACCUGGGAUGUGCUUUGAAUAACCACUAUCAAGAUAUCAUCUCUUCUUUUUUUUGUCUUUGGCUGCAAGAUACACCUACAAGAGAAGAACUAAAUUGUAAUUUUAGAUACCCAAACUAUUUUGGAUCCUUUGGUGUUAGUUACAAUAGAUCCUUUUGCAAUCUA